AGUGAACGCUGGCGGUAGGCCUAACACAUGCAAGUCGAACGGCAGCACAGUAAGAGCUUGCUCUUACGGGUGGCGAGUGGCGGACGGGUGAGGAAUACAUCGGAAUCUACUUUUUCGUGGGGGAUAACGUAGGGAAACUUACGCUAAUACCGCAUACGACCUACGGGUGAAAGCAGGGGAUCUUCGGACCUUGCGCGAUUGAAUGAGCCGAUGUCGGAUUAGCUAGUUGGCGGGGUAAAGGCCCACCAAGGCGACGAUCCGUAGCUGGUCUGAGAGGAUGAUCAGCCACACUGGAACUGAGACACGGUCCAGACUCCUACGGGAGGCAGCAGUGGGGAAUAUUGGACAAAGGGCGCAAGCCUGAUCCGGCCAUACCGCGUGGGUGAAGAAGGCCUUCGGGUUGUAAAGCCCUUUUGUUGGGGAAGAAAAGCAGCAGGUUAAUACCCCGCUGUUCUGACGGUACCCAAAGAAUAAGCACCGGCUAACUUCGUG
rnacentral:rRNA from 1 species